AGAAAGACGACGAGGUUCCAGGGCCCACGGUGGGCCCACCUGUUGCGCGGGGGUGGGCACCUGAUGCCGGGUGUAUAGGGGCCGUGCGUGCCUGUGUGCGUGCGUGGGUGUGCGCGCACGUGUGUUCAGGCCGCGUGUUCUGGGGCCAGGCGUACGUGUGUGUGCGGUGCGCGCGCGUGUGCCCCGCGUGUGCACGGGCGUGGCGGCGGCGGGCGCGCGACCCGGCCGCGGUAGUGCGUGCCCGUCGCUCUGCGCGCCCGCCCGCCAGCCGGAGCGCAGCAUCGCCUCCGGCCAAGAGUGUGCAUGCGUGGGGGUUGCUGUGAGGACUGGACGUGAGAGUGGUUGCCGAGGUGCCCACCGGUACCUGGCGCGGCGCGGUUGCUCAGCACACAGCUCGGCCACUACCUGUUCACUGUUGUCGAGCUCCACACCGUUGCUCCGGAGAGUGUGGUCCGCCGACCAGCCGCUCCUGCACCUGGGGGCUUGUCAGGAGUGCCCAGUGCCAGGCCCGCCCCAGACCUGCCAGGUCAGCAUCCGCAUUUGAAGAAGACUCCCAGCGGCCCGUGGGCACAGCAGUUUGAGAAGCACUGAUCUAAAGGAAUUCCACGCCUGUAUCGGGAACAGCUCUGUUGCCACAUGGGCCUGGAAAGAAGGCCUGAGGAGGAUCGAGGGACCCAGCAGGGCGGAGGCGACCAUGACAGGUCUGGCCCAAGAAAGGUCAAGGGGGGGCCACGCUGAUAACUGGCUUUGAGGGGAAUUGGCAGCACCAGAGGAGCGUCUGGCUAAAGCAGACGAGGCAAGGUUUCCUGCUGGAGCCGCUAGCUAGAGGCUGAGAUGCCCCCACAGCAUGGCAGGGGGAGGGACGUGCUCGCGGGCACUGGGCCCAUGGGUGUGCACACACGUACACACGCGAGGAGGGCAGCCCGGGCCGGGACAGAUGGCGCAGGGUCGACAGCCGCCACAAGGCCCAGCCGCUCACCGUCUUGCUUCUGUCGUCUCUGUGGACGAGAGCCUCCCGGGACUGCCCAGUGGAGUGAACAUGGCUGGCGAGACGUGGGCCGGGGAAGCUCCCGUCCACGGAGCCCACCCCUGGGAGAGGCAUGGCUCGCGUGGAAUCCCAACCUUGGGACAUGGCUGGUACCUGCUCCCCCUUACAAACAAGGAAGCGGAGGCGUGAAGAGGCUGAGCAAUUUGGUCACGUCACCCAGUGACAGCACCCAGAUUCUAUCUACUUUUUCAGUCUGUGACAGGUGGCAUUUUCCAGAGAGAACCACAGCAGUAUCUCCCAUCCCACACGCUCUUCGCGGUGCGCUGCCGAUGCUCCUCCUGUGUUCCUCUUCUUAAAUCCAGAUAGACUUGGGGGCGCCUGGGUGGCUCAGUUGGUUAAGCGACUGCCUUCGGCUCAGGUCAUGAUCCUGGAGUCCCGGGAUCGAGUCCCGCAUCGGGCUCCCUGCUCGGCGGGGAGUCUGCCUCUCCCUCUGACCCUCCCCCCCUCUCAUGUGCUCUCUCUCUCUCUCUCAUUCUCUCUCUCAAAUAAAUAAAUAAAAUCUUAAAAAAAAAAAAAUCCAGAUAGACUUGAGUUUGCAAAAGCGAUGCUCUGUGGCUUCCGAGCUAGGUCAGGAAAUGCAGUGUAGCUUCCACUUGGUUCUCUCGGGACUCUCCCCU